rnacentral:lncRNA from 1 species
UCUACUCCAAACUUCUUUCGGACCUCGUCAAUGAUCGAGCUUCUCCAGCAGUGGGACUUCUACAAUAAAAAGUCUCUAUCCGAGCUUCUACGAUUACUGAUCUUUGAUCGAGCUUUUACAGUAAGCGGACUUCGUCCAGACUCUUACGAGAGCUGGACUCCAUUCGAACUUCUACAAUAGAAUCGUAUCCCGGACUCCUCCAAUGUUUGACCUUCCACAGUGUCCUCAAGACUCCUCCAGCGGACGAACCUCCACAACGCCAUCCAAAUUCCACUGUCGGUCGAUCCUCUACCGGAUUCCUCAUGAAAUCAGACUUCUCCAAUAGAAAGUCUCCGUCUGAGC